AAACGACGUUGUUUUCAUUCUUCUCCAUCUUUUGGCUGUUUCGAUUCAGAAACGAGAAACACGAUCUCUUGAGCUUCACUUAAACACGAUUCCAAAUCGAGAGAAACUAGAAACGAGUUGCGAAUUUGAUCCUGACUCCUGAGCUUGAUCAUGCGACUCUAUGAGAACAAGCUGCAGAAUCUGACUGGACAGCUGUCUGCGGUUGUGAAGUUAUAGCUUGGAAGUUAACAGCAGAACUUAAGCUGUUUUUGGAAAGUGGAGUUCGUGAGAGAGCGAAUGUUGGAGCCUCGAAAGGAGAGCAACGUGUUGGAGACUUGGAGUCUUGGAAGAGUGCAACUUUUGGUUUUAAAUUUUAUGAUAUAUUAUACAAUUAUGAAUAAAAAUAUGUAAACUUUGGGUUUUUAAUUUCAUGAUAAACUUUUACAGUUAUAAAUAAAAAAAUAUAUAAGCUUUGGGUUUUUAA